AGGGAAACCGAGUCUUAAUUGGGCGUUAAGUUGCAGGGUAUAGACCCGAAACCCGGUGAUCUAGCCAUGGGCAGGUUGAAGGUUGGGUAACACUAACUGGAGGACCGAACCGACUAAUGUUGAAAAAUUAGCGGAUGACCUGUGGCUGGGGGUGAAAGGCCAAUCAAACCGGGAGAUAGCUGGUUCUCCCCGAAAGCUAUUUAGGUAGCGCCUCGUGAAUUCAUCUCCGGGGGUAGAGCACUGUUUCGGCUAGGGGGCCAUCCCGGCUUACCAACCCGAUGCAAACUGCGAAUACCGGAGAAUGUUAUCACGGGAGACACACGGCGGGUGCUAACGUCCGUCGUGAAGAGGGAAACAACCCAGACCGCCAGCUAAGGUCCCAAAGUCAUGGUUAAGUGGGAAACGAUGUGGGAAGGCCCAGACAGCCAGGAUGUUGGCUUAGAAGCAGCCAUCAUUUAAAGAAAGCGUAAUAGCUCACUGGUCGAGUCGGCCUGCGCGGAAGAUGUAACGGGGCUAAACCAUGCACCGAAGCUGCGGCAGCGACACUGUGUGUUGUUGGGUAGGGGAGCGUUCUGUAAGCCUGCGAAGGUGUCCCGUGAGGGAUGCUGGAGGUAUCAGAAGUGC
rnacentral:rRNA from 1 species